rnacentral:rRNA from 1 species
GAUGAACGCUGGCGGCGUGCCUAAUACAUGCAAGUCGAGCGAACGGACGAGAAGCUUGCUUCUCUGAUGUUAGCGGCGGACGGGUGAGUAACACGUGGAUAACCUACCUAUAAGACUGGGAUAACUUCGGGAAACCGUAGCUAAUACCGGAUAAUAUUUUGAACCGCAUGGUUCAAAAGUGAAAGACGGUCUUGCUGUCACUUAUAGAUGGAUCCGCGCUGCAUUAGCUAGUUGGUAAGGUAACGGCUUACCAAGGCAACGAUGCAUAGCCGACCUGCGAGGGUGAUCGGCCACACUGGAACUGAGACACGGUCCAGACUCCUACGGGAGGCAGCAGUAGGGAAUCUUCCGCAAUGGGCGAAAGCCUGACGGAGCAACGCCGCGUGAGUGAUGAAGGUCUUCGGAUCGUAAAACUCUGUUAUUAGGGAAGAACAUAUGUGUAAGUAACUGUGCACAUCUUGACGGUACCUAAUUAGAAAGCCACGGCUAACUACGUG